rfam:Triticum aestivum genome assembly, contig: Triticum_aestivum_CS42_TGACv1_scaffold_362688_4DS
AAUAUAGUCCCUCUGUCCGAAUUACUUGUCACAGAAAUGGAUGUAUCUAGAACUAAAAAUAUAUCUAGAUACAUCCAUUUCCGCGACAAGUAAUUCCGGACGGAGGGAGUAGGUC